CUGUGGAUCUCUGGCUGUUAAAACACACUACAUGGAAACACUACUUCCUGUGAUUUGUAAACCAUGCUUCUUGUCUGAAACAUAAGAAAGGAGUAACUUGUAGAGGCAGCAGCAAGGACACAGGAUGGGAUUGAGGCUGCAAUGGUGGGGACUGGAUGUAUUGAUUUCCAACUGUAGUAUUUCACAUACAUGAAUUUAACCUCUUCAGGAAGCCUGACAGGCUGAAUCUCAUGCUCCUUGCCUAAACAACCACGAAAGGAGUUGGACCUCUUCUGUGAAAAGAAGUUUGCUUCAAAGAUUUCAUCAAAAACGAUUUUGAGUGCCGCAGUUCAUUGUAGUCACCACCUCUCAAGAAGACUGAAGAUAAACAACAAAACAUGGACAGUGUUUUGGGGGCUAACUUAUGUCUUUUCACAAAAGUCUCUGUCUGUAGAAAAAACACUCUUUUUUCUUGAGCGGUUUGUUUAGCAUUUCAGUCCCCUACUGUGAUUGCUGAAUUCAGUUACUACUGACUAGUGAGAUUUUAUUGCCAGUCAGUUCAUUUCAACCUGAAGAACACUGGCUUUGGCCUCUUGUUUUGUUUUGUUUUGUUUUUCCACUGUUUUUUGCCAAUGCAGCUGAAAUGAACAUGGCCACCUUUGUUUAG
ensembl:lncRNA